rnacentral:rRNA from 1 species
UACGGAGGGUGCGAGCGUUGUCCGGAAUCAUUGGGCGUAAAGGACGCGUAGGUGGCCCGGUCAGCGUGCGGUGAAAGCUCGGGGCUCAACCCCGAGUCGGCCGUGCGAACUGCUGGGCUUGAGCACUGUAGAGGCAGGCGGAAUUCCGGGUGUAGCGGUGGAAUGCGUAGAGAUCCGGAAGAACACCGGUGGCGAAGGCGGCCUGCUGGGCAGUGGCUGACACUGAGGCGCGACAGCGUGGGGAGCAAACAGG